GGCAGGGGCUGGACUUCGCCCCUGUCUCAGGGAUGAUUUAGUCUUAUUGAAGAGCUGUGGGGCUCCCAGAAAACCCUGUGAUUUGCCUCUCUCCGAAUGCUUCCUGCACUCUGUCAUCAAGAGGACAUUUUACCGCCGGUACUGACGCCUUCCCUGGUGCAAAACCUUUCAUCUCGGAAUAUCAAAGAUUUUUGCAAGCACUAAUUCAUUAAUUAAGCCUCUUGAUGACUGUUCAGAGAAAGAGAGAAGAAAAAUGUAUUUCAAAAAGAAAGAGGCUUAAAAUUUGGGUGGUUUGGGUGGCGGCUUCCGUGAACAAAGACUGACAUUUCACGCGUGUCAUUGUGACUCCCCCACAAAUCCGUCACUGAAUCCAGAACAGACCUUGCUAUGAGGAUGCAAGUGUUUUUCAGAAUGUGAAACCUGGUGAAUUUGCUGAGAUUUAUCGGUUCACUUUGGAGUUGCUGUGGAAGACUGUGGUGCUAAAACCCUACCCCUGGGGAGAGGGAAGCCUGCCUUGGAUUUGAGCCAGGUUUUCAAGAAACUGCCUUCAAAUGCAAAGCCAAGAAAAAUGGUCGACUCUUUUGGUCUUAAUUAGUUGAAAUGCUGAAACUCAAAAUCAGUCAACAUAAAACAUUAUCGCCCCAGGUCCAAAUAAAAAUAAAAGAGACUGGAAAAUAUUUCCACUCUUUCCACCACCCAACAUGUGUACUGUAAGUAAAGUUACAGCCAAUCCAGGACCAGGAUGUUGCUGCUUUGAAACAAAGGAUUAGGAAGUGGUGUAUGGAAAAUGCUAGGAAUGUGUGCCCAGAAUCACACCGUCAUUUUCCUACCCAGAAUCACAUAUACAAGACUCAUCAUUAUACUUUCUGCAUCCAUCCAAAUGCAUCUGUGGGUUACCAGAAUAAUCACUGGUAAUGUCAAGAAGAAUCUAAUUAAUUGGCCAUGAACACCCCAGUUUGUAAACCCACACUUUGAAUGACUAUGACUAAGCCAGUACAGGCACCGUGCUGGGAUCACAUCUGAUUCUUUCAAGGUUCUUAGAAAUUAAUAUGUAUGUCUACAAAACACACACUAGGGUUUAAUUAUGUCUAUUAAUCAAUUCAUUUUUAAACUUUCUCCCCUUCUCUGUCUUUCAACUCUUGACCAUGUAGCUGAGCGGUGAAAUGUGGAGUAAUGCAACAAGAAUGAAAAUUUUGACUUCACCCCAUAAGUCCUGUGUGACGUUGGGGGAAUUCACUUAACUUGUCUAAGAUUCACUUUCCUAACCUACAAAAUGGAAGCAAUCCCAGUAAUGACUUUGUGAAUAAAUGUU